CAAGGCUACUCCUGACUGACCAUCACAUAAAAGAAUACAAAACAAUCUGAAAGUCAACCAAGGAAAUAGUAAUCAAGAAUAAUUCUGAAUAGACGUAAUUUCUACUUUAUGCAUGACUGUAAACCUUAACUUCACUGAACUAGACCAGGUAUGACAGCUCCUCUCCCAACAGCUCUACUUUCUACAUCUACUCUCUACCACCACAAAACUUCUUUCAGUUCCAUGAAAGGGCCAUGUUUUUCUGGUCUCUUGGCCUAGGAGCAUGUUGUUCUUCUGCCAGCAACCUUCUUCAACCAUCUCCACAGGAUGACUCCUCUAUUGGAUACUUCCAUGAAAAGUCCAGGCCUGGGUUAUGUACCCUUCCCAAAGUGCACCCCAGACACCCAACAGUUUUUCCAGCCCAGACUCACCACACUGUGUGGUAAUUUCCUGAUCACUCAGUUGUGCUCCCCACAGACUAUAAGCUCUAUGAGGGCAGGGGCCACAGUUUGCUUGUUCACUACUAUAUGCUCAGUACCUGGUAAAUAUUAGUUGACUGAAGAAUGACUAUGUGGUAAUCUAUUCCAUUGGUGGCCUCCAGUGAACCAUGUCUUCUGGUAUUUACAUCUUGUGUGGUCCCCUCCAUUAAAUUUGGGCUUUAACCAACAGAAUGCUGCAGAAGCGACACCCUGCCACUUGUGCUUUUGUGAUCCUAGCCACCAGUAAGAAGCCCUGUGACCUUGCUGAGACCCUGAAGAGACCACAUAGAGAGGCCACUUGAAGGGCAAGGGGUCCUGACUCUACAUGGAGAGAGAAGCCCAGCCAUCCCUGUUUCCCAGCUGAGUCCUGACCAGAUAACUCACUACAAGACUGACCACAGGCAAGAACAGCAGAAGAGCUGCCCAGCUGAGCCCAUCCAAGAGUGCAGAAUUUCAAGCAAGUAAAAUGACUAAUGUUGUAAGCCACUAAAAUUCUAGGGUGGUUCUUACAUAGCAAUAUGUAACUGUGAUAAACUAAAUAAAUGAAUAAAAGGGAAUGAAGAAUUACUUCACAGAAUAAGUUUCAUGCAAAGACAUCUCAAUGUCUCUAAGAAACACUUCUAAGGAAGAGCAGAGUCAAGAAAAUAGCAACAGAACUAACAGGAAAUAGAGGAACUCAUACCACCAGCUUCCAUUUACAUUACAUCACAUUUUUCCUCUGUCAGUUUCUUUGGUUUUAAGAUAUUCUCCAAUGAAAAGAUAUUCCUACUCUUUUGUGAAAAAGAGAUUCUAGGUUUGACAUUAAAGUUAAGAAGUCCAACCAAGGAGGGGAUGUGAACACUAACACACAAAUGGAAACUGCUUAGAAUCCCAUGGCCAACCUAUCCCUGCUGUUCUAUUUCCUCUUACUUGCCAGCAGAGCAGAUCUACAGCUGUGGAUGAGGGCAUAGAGGCUGCUGUGCUCAGGGGAAACUGGAAUACUAUGGAGACUCCUGGCUUAACUGGGCACCAAAUGUUCAGUUCAGUGUGAAAAAUACCAUCCAAAGAUCAGAAUGGUUAAUUUUUAUACAGACAGUUAAUGACUUGUCAGUGAACUAGUAAAAACAAAAUAGACAGCUACUCAGUGCCUUUAACCCAGGCAUCCAAUCAGUUACACUAUACACAUAUGCACAUACACCCCCUAGAGACAGCUGAUACACACUGUUACAUAAUCCAGAAUAUUUUCUGGCUAGACUAUAUUUUGAAUCCUAAAUAUUAGCUAGCAACAUUAGCAUGCACAUCUCAGAAUGAGAAGACAGACUGCUACAUUUAUACUGGCUUGAUGGAAUCUUGGAUUGCUACUUCUAAUAAUUGCUUUUCUUCCUGAAAGAAAAAAAUCAUUAUGUAAGAACUAUGGCCUAAGCGAAGUAUCUGUCUUUUGUAAAAAACCAUAAAACAAAAUGCCAAGAAUAUUUUCUAACGUAUUAUACUGGACUAAUGCUUUGAAAUUUCUGAAUGAUGUUUAGUAGGUAAAAUUAUCAAUGUAUGUCUAGAAUAGCAUGCCUCUUAAACCUACCUCCAAUUAAUAAAUUUUAUGUGAUAGAUAUUUAAAGUAAAGAAGUGAAUUCAGGAACAAGCCAGCGGCUUGAAUGCUGCAUGCUUGGGAAGGGAAAAAUCAGCUCCCAGGGUUUU
rnacentral:lncRNA from 1 species